UACAGAGGUGGCAAGCGUUGUUCGGAAUUACUGGGCGUAAAGGGCGCGUAGGCGGUUCGUCAAGUCCUGUGUGAAAUCCCCCGGCUCAACUGGGGAACUGCACAGGAAACUAGCGGGCUGAGUUCGGGAGAGGGAAGCGGAAUUCCGGGUGUAGCGGUGGAAAUGCGUAGAUAUCCGGAGGAACGACCGGGUGGCGAAGGCGGCU
rnacentral:rRNA from 1 species